rnacentral:rRNA from 1 species
AUUGAACGCUGGCGGCAGGCCUAACACAUGCAAGUCGAGCGGAUGAAGGGAGCUUGCUCCUGGAUUCAGCGGCGGACGGGUGAGUAAUGCCUAGGAAUCUGCCUGGUAGUGGGGGAUAACGUCCGGAAACGGGCGCUAAUACCGCAUACGUCCUGAGGGAGAAAGUGGGGGAUCUUCGGACCUCACGCUAUCAGAUGAGCCUAGGUCGGAUUAGCUAGUUGGUGGGGUAAAGGCCUACCAAGGCGACGAUCCGUAACUGGUCUGAGAGGAUGAUCAGUCACACGGGAACUGAGAAACGGUCCAGACCCCUACGGGAGGCAGCAGGGGGGAAUAUGGGACAAUGGGCGAAAGCCUGAUCCAGCCAUGCCGCGUGUGUGAAGAAGGUCUGCGGAUUGUAAAGCACUUUAAGUUGGGAGGAAGGGCAGUAAGUUAAUACCUUGCUGUUUGGACGUUACCAACAGAAUAAGCACCGGCUAACUUCGG